rnacentral:tRNA from 1 species
GAAAAUUUAAUUAAAAUUAUAAUAUUGAAAUGUCAUUUCAAAAUUGUUUAAAAAUAAACAAUUUUCG